CACUCAGCUUUCUGAAAUGGUGUCCCACCGCAAGGACUGGAGAAGGGCACCCUUGGAAAUGCAAUGCUACAUCUCAAUGGGAUUUUCCAGUACAAAGAUUCUUUUCAAAUAACAUAAUUGUGGAUACACACCACUCCUACAGUGGUAAACCUCAGGUUCUCCUCCUGCCUUUUGCUAAGUAUAUGUCUUGAUGACAAGCCUUCUGCUGAUGAGCUGUGUUUCUGGACCGAUCAUGGUAGAAGUCAAUUAACGUGUCCCUCACUUGGGGUUUCUCAAGGGAGUCUCACUCUGUCGUCCAGGCUGGAGUGCAGUGGCACAAUCUCGGCUCACUGCAAGCUCUGCCUCCCAGGUUCACGCCAUUCUCCUGCCUCAGUCUCCCAACUGCACUGAUGAGGAAACUGAAACAGAAAAUCCAGAGUAAAUUCCACCAGGCCACACAGCAAGGUCUGAUAGAGCCAGGAGAGACUUUAUGAAAUCCAGACUCUCACACUAAUGCUCUAUCAGCUAGACCUCCAUGUGAGUCUCCCCAAUGUAGGUAGGAAGUGCUUUCCCUAAAAUGCUCAUAAAGCAAAUCAGAGCAAUGCUGCAUUCCAUGUGAUUUCUAAUUUGAAAUGCAAACAAUUGCCAAUUUGUUUGACUUGUAUUUAUAAUUAUUUCCUUGUGAAUUACUCAUCACUAAAUGCUUUAUAAAUAUUUUCUCUUUUUUUCCUCAAUGUCUAUGGAAUGAUCACAGCAUAGAAAA
rnacentral:lncRNA from 1 species